GUGCUUGCUUCAGCAGCAUGCAUACUAAAAUUGGAAUGAUACAGAGAAGACUAGUCUGACCCCUGCACAAGGAUGAUACACAAAUUUGUGACAUGUUCCAUAUUAAA
ensembl:snRNA U6 U6 spliceosomal RNA